rnacentral:rRNA from 1 species
UACGGAGGGUGCAAGCGUUAUCCGGAUUCACUGGGUUUAAAGGGUGCGUAGGUGGGUCUGUAAGUCCGUGGUGAAAUCUCCAAGCUUAACUUGGAAACUGCCAUGGAUACUAUAGGUCUUGAAUACCGUGGAGGUGAGCGGAAUAUGUCAUGUAGCGGUGAAAUGCUUAGAUAUGACAUAGAACACCAAUUGCGAAGGCAGCUCACUACACGAAUAUUGACACUGAGGCACGAAAGCGUGGGGAUCAAGCAGG